GGUUCUAUAGUGUAGCGGUUAGCACAUCGGAUUCUGAUGAACAGAAAUAUUCCGGUAACCCCGGUUCGAUUCCGGGUAGGACCU